rnacentral:lncRNA from 1 species
UGCAGGUUGUUGAUGAAGAAAAUUUUUGGAUCUACACUACAUAUUGUUUCAUGCUUCUUUUUUAGAUCAAAGGCAUUGCCUAGCUUUAUUGAAAGCGUAUCAAGCCAACAAAUCUUGCUAGGGAAACCAACUUACAAGGGAGUUCAGCACGCUUCUAAGAGCGAGACAACAAAGCAUUCACUAAGGAACUCAACUAAAGAGACCACCCCCAAUGAGGAACCCAAAAGAGUAUUGAAGAUACACUAUAAAACAAAUUAUAGAUUAUUAGCAUUGGUCGUGACUAGCUAAAUAAUCUCCUCUGCUAAGGGCUUGAGUUUUGGCUUCAGUAAUGGAAUCCAUGUCUUCACCAGGGAAAUCAACUUGUAAACCAGCACCGCUGGUGUAGAUACCGUCUUCUUGUUAAACACCACGUCAUUGUGAGCUUUACAUAAUGUCCACAACACACCUAC